rnacentral:rRNA from 1 species
GACAGAGGGUGCGAACGUUGCUCGGAAUUACUGGGCGUAAAGCGCGUGUAGGCGGGUGAUCAAGUCAGGUGUGAAAUCCCUGGGCUCAACCCAGGAACUGCACUUGAAACUGGUUGCCUUGAGUGUUGGAGAGGGAAGCGGAAUUCCUGGUGUAGAGGUGAAAUUCGUAGAUAUUGGGAAGAACACCGGUGGCGAAGGCGGCUCACUGGCUCAUUACUGACGCUCAGGCGCGACAGCGUGGGGAUCAAACAGG